rnacentral:rRNA from 1 species
GACGAACCGUACGAACGUUAUUCGGAAUCACUGGGCUUAAAGGGUGCGUAGGCGGUGCGGAAAGUUGGGUGUGAAAUCCCUCGGCUCAACCGAGGAACUGCGCUCAAAACUACCGUGCUUGAGGGAGACAGAGGUGAGCGGAACUUAGGGUGGAGCGGUGAAAUGCGUUGAUAUCCUAAGGAACACCGGUGGCGAAGGCGGCUCACUGGGUCUCUUCUGACGCUGAGGCACGAAAGCUAGGGUAGCGAACGGG